CCUACGGGCGGCAGCAGUGAGGAAUAUUGGUCAAUGGACGUAAGCCUGAACCAGCCAAGUAGCGUGAAGGAUGACUGCUCUAUGGAUUGUAAACUUCUUUUAUAAAGGAAUAAAACGAGGCACGUGUGCUUUUUUGCAUGUACUUUAUGAAUAAGGAUCGGCUAACUCCGUGCCAGCAGCCGCGGUAAUACGGAGGAUCCGAGCGUUAUCCGGAUUUAUUGGGUUGAAAGGGAGCGUAGAUGGGCUGUUAAGUCAGUUGUGAAAGUUUGCGGCUCAACCGUAAAAUUGCAGUUGAUACUGGGAGUCUUGAGUAUAUUUGAGGUAGGCGGAAUUCGUGGUGUAGCGGUGAAAUGCUUAGAUAUCACGAAGAACCCCGAUUGAGAAGGCAGCUUACUAAGCUGUGACUGACAUUGAUGCUCGAAAGUGUGGGUAUCAAACAGGAUUAGAUACCCUUGUAGUC
rnacentral:rRNA from 1 species